UCUCUCUUUUAUGUGGAAACUAAACUUCUUCUAGUCCUGUCAUUUUCUUCUCUCCAUAGUCCUGUAUUUUUUUAACUCCAUGGCUUCAUCAUCAUCUUCUUCCCCAACCUCUGAAACUAAAUAUGAUGUUUUCCUUAGUUUUAGAGGUGAGGAUGUACGUAAUAACUUCACAAGCCAUCUCUAUGCCGCUUUGUGUCGAAAACAAGUUGAAACAUUCAUUGAUGAAGAAGGACUCAAGCGAGGAGAUGAAAUUUCACCUAUGCUUUUGAAAGCAAUCGUAGAAUCAAAGAUUUCAGUUAUUAUUUUCUCAAAAGACUACGCUUCCUCAAGAUGGUGCUUAGAUGAACUAUCAAAGAUCCUUGAAUGCAAACGAAUGAACGGCCAAAUGGUCAUACCAGUUUUCUACCAGGUCGAUCCAUCAGAUGUACGUAAACAGAACGGAAGUUUUAAAGAUUCAUUUUUAAAGCAUGAAGAGCGUUUCAAGGAUAUGAAAGAAAAGAUUCAGAAAUGGAGGGAUGCUUUGACUGAUGCUGCCAAUCUAUCAGGAUGGGAUUCCUCUGUCACCAAGCCUGACGCACAACUUGUGGAGAAAAUUGUUGAUGAUAUUUUGGAGAAAUUGAAAGAUGCAUCAUACUCGAAUGAUUCCAGUGGCCUAAUUGGAUUAAGUUCACGCAUCGAGAGAGUAAAAUCGUUAUUAUAUAUUGGGUUGAUUGAUUUUCAAAUUUUAGGAAUUUUGGGAAUGGGUGGUAUAGGUAAAACAACCAUUGCAGGAGCUGUUUUCAACCAAAUUUCAAGCCAAUUUGAAGGUUGCUGCUUCAGGAUUAAUGUUAGAGAAGAAUCGGAAAAAUAUGGAUUAGUUCACAUAAGAGACCAAGUUCUUUCACAGUUAUUGGAAGAAAAUCUCAAAAUAGGCACUCCUGUUAUACCACAAUAUAUCCAGAGGCGACUUCAACGCAAAAAAGUAUUCAUUAUCCUUGAUGAUGUGAAUGAUUUAAGACAAUUAGAGGUUUUGGCUGGAGGGCUUCGUCAAUUUGGUAAAGGAAGUAGAAUCAUCAUUACAACAAGAGAUAAGCAAGUGCUUCAUUGUUUUGGAGUCAAUGACAUAUAUGAGGUUGAGGGAUUAAAUUAUAAUGAAGCUCUUCAACUCUUUAGUGAUUAUGCUUUCAAAGGAAACCAUCCCUUGGAGCAUCUCCGGGAGCUCUCAAUCAAGAUACUAAAUUUUGCCAAUGGCAAUCCAUUGGCUCUUAAAGUAUUGGGCUCCUCCCUUUACCAAAAGAGCAAACGAGAAUGGGAAAGUGCAUUGUAUAACUUACAAAGGCUUUGCGAUCCUCAAAUCUACGAUGUGUUGAAAGUUAGUUAUGAUGGUUUAAGCAGUGAAGAAAAAAGUAUAUUUCUUGAUAUUGCAUGUUUUUUCAAUGGGAAGGAUAGAGAUUGUGUUGCAGAAUUAUUAGAUGGCCAUUACUCUUUGGGUAGCCUCUUAAAUAAAUCCUUGGUAACAAUAUCAGCCAAUAAGCUUCAAAUGCAUGAUUUAUUACAAGAAAUGGGUCGAGAUAUUGUUUACAAAGAAUCGAAAACUGAACCUGGCAGGCGUAGCAGAUUGUGGCAUCAUGAAGAUAUGUACCACAUAUUGAAAAACAAUAAGGGGACUGAUCUAGUUGAAGGCAUAUUCUUAAAUAUGUCCAAAAUUAAAGAGUUGAAAUUGAGUUCAAAAGCAUUUGCAGAUAUGUGUAAUCUUAGAUUGAUUAAAUUCUAUAAUCAUGCCCUUUACGAAGACUCUGUGGAUAUUUCCAAAGUAAAGCUUCAUGGAGGCUUAAAAUAUCUUUCUGAUAAGUUGAGAUACCUCUAUUGGGCUGGAUAUCCUAUGAAAACAUUGCCAUCAAACUUUACCCCAGAGAACCUUGUUCAACUUAAAUUACCUUGUAGCAAUGUUCAACAACUCUGGAAAGGAACAAAGGAAGCCUUCAAUUUAAAGUCAAUUGACCUUCAUAAGUCCAAGAACCUGAUUAAGAUGCCAGACCUGUCAGAAGCCCCUCAACUUGAGAUUAUAAAUCUUGAAGAAUGCAGAAGCUUGGUUGAGGUUCCCUCAUCUAUACAACAUUUGAACAACCUUAGUUUCCUAUGUUUACGGGGCUGCGAAAGUCUUAAAGUCUUUCCAAGAAACAUUCAUUUUGGUUCUCAUAUAAUUCUUGAUCUCUCCUUUUGCAUUAAUCUCACUGAGUUUCCUCAUAUUUCGGGGAAUGUAGUGCAACUCUUUUUAAAUGGGACUGCAAUUGAGGAAGUUCCUUCGUCGAUAGAAUGUUUAAGUGAGCUUGUAUUAUUAGACCUGACAAAAUGUACAAGGCUCAAGAGUAUUUCAACUAGCAUUUGCAAAUUGAAGUCUCUUCGGUUGCUUUAUCUUUGGAACUGUUCUAAACUUGAAAGUUUCCCAGAAAUCUUUGAGGAAAUGAAACAUUUGGUAGAGCUUAAUUUAAAUGGAACAGCAAUAAAGACACUGCCAUCUACAAUUCAACAUCUAAUUGGGCUUUGCUCUUUGGGAUUACGGGAUUGCAAGCAUCUUCAGACUAUUCCAAGCAGCAUCUGCAAUUUAACAUCUUUGGGUGAAAUUGAUCUCACUGGAUGCUCGAAACUUGAUAUGUUGCCUGAGAACUUGGGGGAUUUAAUAGUUUUGAGAAAGCUUAAGGCAACAGGAGCUGCUAUAUAUCAGCUUCCUUCCUCUGUUGCAAAGUGGAAACGGAUAACAAAUUUAGAUUUAUCUUUCUGUGCUUUAACAGAAAUUCCAAAACAUCUCUGCUGUGCAUCGUCAUUGGUAUCAUUAGAUUUAUCUGGAAACCCUUUUGAGACUCUGCCUACCAAUUUCAAGCAACUUUCUCAACUGAAAAACCUUUACUUAGAGAACUGCAAUGUGCUUCUAUCAUUACCAGAGCUUCCAUUAUGUCUAGAAUAUAUUGAGGUAGUAAAUUGCAAGCGGCUUCAAUUGUUACCGGAGCUUCCCUCUAGUCUAAAAGAGUUAGAUGCAUCUGAACUUGAAAAAUUAUCUGAACACUGCAGCUCAGAUCAAUGGUUUAAUAUAAGUUUCUUGUUUACAAAUUGUCUGAAUCUACUUCAGAAGACAUGCAUCAAUACUUUGGCAGAUUUACAGCGAAGAAUUCAACUUCUGGCAACUACAUUACUGAGACUCUGCUAUGAAGAGGGAAGUGAUGAGAUACCAACAGUCAGCUUAUGUUUACCUGGAAGUGAAAUUCCUAACUGGUUCACCUAUAGAGGUUCUGAAUCUUUAGUAACUAUUCAGCUACAUCAGAAUUGGUGCAAUAGAAGAUUCAUCGGAUUUGCUUUAUGUGCUGUUCUUUCGUUUGAUGAGAGAAGUUGUUAUGAGGAAGCAAUUUAUGUAAAUUGUAGUUACCGAUUUGAAAGCAGUUCUGUUGAUACUGUUCAUUUUCGAUGCGAUUUCAUGACUGGAGCAGCCUUACAGGAUGGCAUGAUAAUUGAGUCUGAUCACUUGAUAUUGGGGUAUAGUCCUUUUAUGAAUGUUAAGCUACUUAAUGGUGAUUAUACAACAGCCUCAUUUGAGUUCACCCCAAUUAAAAAAUAUCCCAUGAGGAACAUAGAAGGUUGUAAGGUGAAAAGUUGUGGUGUCUGUCCUCUAUAUGCACAAUCUGACUUGAUCCAAGUUGACGGUUCUGUUGAGAAAUUGGCAACCAUAAAUCAGGAUAUUGGGGAAGCAGUUGUAGAAGAAUCCACCAAGGAGGAAGCUGACAGAUUUGGGAGUUGCAGUGGUGGAUCUGUUGAGGAGGAUGCAGAGCCGCAUCCUAAAAGACUCUGCAGAAAUCGUGUAAACAACUAAGAGAAAUAGCAGUGGCUUAUUGCUCUUACAUUGUCUUACUUUGGGGACUUCGUGUUACUGGAUCGAAGAAAGUUCAACCUUAGCAAUGGAAGGGAUUUCAACUUAAUAAUUCAAGGGGAACUUAAAUUAUAUCCUAAUUGGGAUGCUUCAAAUAUGAGAGGAAUGCUCACAUAUAUUUCAUACUUGUGUGAAAAUACUAUUAAGAAAGUUUUUGAAUGAAUUGAAAAAGAUUUUAAGCUCGACUACUUGAACAGAAUUCCUAUUUGUAAUUAACAUUUUCUGAGCUUAGUGAUUUUGAAAUGAUUCCAUGGAUAUAGAUUUUGUUUGUAGUCAAACCAUGUAAAAACUCGUUGUCUUCAUUACUUUCUUGUUUAGUAAUUGCCGAACAUUGUGUGCCUUACAAAUUGUGUGUAAAGGAUUCUAUAACUCAAGCGUGAUUUGUG